rnacentral:rRNA from 1 species
UACGUAGGGUGCAAGCGUUGUCCGGAAUUAUUGGGCGUAAAGAGCUCGUAGGUGGCUUGUCGCGUCUGCCGUGAAAGCCCAUGGCUUAACUGUGGGUCUGCGGUGGAUACGGGCUGGCUAGAGUUAGGUAGGGGCAAGCGGAAUUCCUGGUGUAGCGGUGAAAUGCGCAGAUAUCAGGAGGAACACCGGUGGCGAAGGCGGCUUGCUGGGCCUUACCUGACGCUGAGGAGCGAAAGCGUGGGGAGCGAACAGG